CGUACACUCCUGCGGGAGGCAGCAGUGGGGAAUAUUGCACAAUGGGCGCAAGCCUGAUGCAGCGACGCCGCGUGGGGGAUGAAGGCCUUCGGGUUGUAAACUCCUUUCGCUAGGGACGAAGCUUUUUUGUGACGGUACCUAGAUAAGAAGCACCGGCUAACUACGUGCCAGCAGCCGCGGUAAUACGUAGGGUGCGAGCGUUGUCCGGAAUUACUGGGCGUAAAGGGCUCGUAGGUGGUUUGUCGCGUCGUCUGUGAAAUUCUGGGGCUUAACUCCGGGCGUGCAGGCGAUACGGGCAUAACUUGAGUGCUGUAGGGGUAACUGGAAUUCCUGGUGUAGCGGUGAAAUGCGCAGAUAUCAGGAGGAACACCGAUGGCGAAGGCAGGUUACUGGGCAGUUACUGACGCUGAGGAGCGAAAGCAUGGGUAGCGAACAGGAUUAGAAACCCCUGUAGUCCCAUGA
rnacentral:rRNA from 1 species